AAUCUGGGAGUUUUCAGGUUUAGGAUUACAUUGUGGGAGCAUUUGUUUCCACCCUAUUUAUCUACAAAAGGUUAUGCAUAAAGUAAAUAGGAGAUUAAGAUGCCAAAAGGGAGAAUAGGUAGCCAGGUUAAACAAACUGCUUUAAUACCAAAUAAGUCACCCUCUAUAGAAAUAAGUCCUUAGAAGAAAACAGAAAACUGUGUGCCUGUAAUACUUGUGAGAUUUCUGCUUAACAAAGGCAUAAUAGACUUUCACACUGAAGUGAGGAUGACUAAGCACUUGUAUUCUAAAUACACUUGCAGAAGAAGCUUCAAAUCAAAGCUCAGGGUUAGGAAGGGAUUUAGAAGACACCUAGUCACCUCUUUGGAGAAUCUUCUACCCCAAAAGACGCAGCCCUGAUGACAACAGGAAAAGACUCAGUCAUUCAGCUCGUGCCCAGUGUAAUAGGCACAUUUUGAGAUUCAGUAGUGAGGUUUUUGUUGAGGGACAAAGCCAAAAAUACUUGUUGGGGGAGAAAAAAACAAACAGGAAAAAAAAGGAACCAAGCUUUCAAAAUACAUUCUGCUUGAUUGCAGUGGCACUGACAGACUCUUAGGAAAUAAAUGCCAGCCUUUUAAGGUAUGUAUGACAAACUAUCUCCUUGUGGUGAGUGUGUUCAGAAAGGAGAGAGAAUGCUAUCUGUUGGUGUGAAGGUGGUCUAAAUCUAAGCAGAAAGGAGAACAUUCUAUAGCCAUGGACAGGAGACUCAUGGAAGCUGAGCAGUGUUGUGUUACCUGUGGAGCUGACAGUCUUACUCCUGUGUAGUACAGAGGAUGCUGCCCAGUCAGUAGGUUGUGUCAGCUAGAGAGAGACCAGCAGACACUCAGUAGCAUCCUACCCUCCUUGUGCUUCUUUUUGUUUAAAAAAAAUGUAUACGUGGAAAAUCUGAGGCAGAGAUAAUCAUAUUCCUAAAGUCACAAUGCAAAAAUACAGAGGCCUAUCAGAAGCAAAGGGCUGCCCCCCACAACCCAAACCAAAGCUCAUCAUAUCUCUCUGACCUGACAGACGACUCACCUAACCAUUUCCCCGGGCCUCACACUGGCAUUUCUCCUGUGGUAAGUUUCUUAUUCUCACCUGAGGUUCAGCUUUCCUUAUCUGUAAAAUGGGCUGUUUUGAGGAUUAAGUGUUUGAAUAAAUACAAAGCCAUGUCCCACAUGGCUAUAUACUAGAGUGUAAAGAUAUGCAGAGUUGGUGUUGGUGAGUGAGCUCUGCGGGCUUGGGGGUUGUCCCACACCUAAGGCAGGAAGAUGGUGGCCGCAAAGAAGACGGAAAAGUCUCUGGAGUCGAUCAACUCUAGGCUCCAACUUGUUAUGAACAGUGGGAAGUACGUGCUGGGCUACAAACAGACUCUGAAGAUGAUCAGACAAGGCAAAGCCAAGUUGGUUAUCCUCGCCAACAGCUGCCCAGCUUUGAGGAAAUCUGAAAUAGAGUACUAUGUCAUGUUGGCUAAAACUGGGAUCCAUCUCUACAGUGGCAAAAAUAUUGAACUGGGCACAGCGAAUGGAAAACACUACAGAGUAUGGACACUGGCUAUCAUUGACCCAGGUGAUUCUGAUAUUAUUAGAAGCAUGCCAGAACAGACUGGUGAGAAGUAAACAAGAAAGUUUUCCUUUAAUAAAACUUUGCCAGCGCUCCUUUUGAAAAAAAAA